CAGCCCUUUGUGCAGGCACACACAUGCAGAGAGAGAAAACUGUCCUGGUAAGAUCACUGGGAAAUUAGAGAAGAGAAAAUACAGGAGAAUGGGGCCAGAUGCCAAGCCCUUAGGAUCCCUUGGCCCUUAACAAUCAGCAAAGGGCUUAGAUACUUGUCCUCUUGAUUACUCUGAACUACAUCUUGUAAUUACCAACUUCAGUCAAGAAACACUAAACAGUUUAUCCUUCAGAAGCUCCCUUCAAAAUCCUCUUUGGCCUGGCUCCUGCCCUCAUCAUGCCAUUAAACUGCCCUCUCAAAAGCCACCAGGGCUCUCGGUGAUUGUCUCAAGUUUGCAAAAAAGGAGACCAGCGGUAGCCAAAGAGAAGCUAUAUCCUUAACUACCGCUGCUCAGCUGGCUGGGGGCAAAGCUGAGGGCCUCUUGUUUCCUUAGUCUAGGGAUUAUUGCUACAUAGAAUUUAUUAUUAUUACUAUUAUUAUUUUAAUCAAAAAAUGACAUAUUGUGUAGAUUUUUGGUAUACAUUGUGAAACUUUGAUAUAUGUAUACUUUGUGGAAUAAUUAAAUCAAACUAAUUAAUGUA
ensembl:lncRNA novel transcript